rnacentral:rRNA from 1 species
UAGGGAAUCUUCCGCAAUGGGCGAAAGCCUGACGGAGCAACGCCGCGUGAGUGAUGAAGGUCUUCGGAUCGUAAAACUCUGUUAUUAGGGAAGAACAAAUGUGUAAGUAACUAUGCACGUCUUGACGGUACCUAAUCAGAAAGCCACGGCUAACUAGGUGCCAGCAGCCGCGGUAAUACGUAGGUGGCAAGCGUUAUCGGGAAUUAUUGGGCGUAAAGCGCGCGUAGGCGGUUUUUUAAGUCUGAUGUGAAAGCCCACGGCUCAACCGUGGAGGGUCAUUGGAAACUGGCAAACUUGAGUGCAGAAGAGGAAAGUGGAAUUCCAUGUGUAGCGGUGAAAUGCGCAGAGAUAUGGAGGAACUCCAGUGGCGAAGGCGACUUUCUGGUCUGUAACUGACGCUGAUGUGCGAAAGCGUGGGGAUCAAACAGG